ensembl:lncRNA
GAGUUCAUCACCAUUUAGAAGAAGAACCCACGUUGAAUGCUGAUAUCAGAAGUCCAGAGGGUGCUGGCACAUCCCUCCUCCCCUCCUGGGAGUACGCCUGCCUGGGCUUAGGGCCAAGGGCAUUCAAGCCUUGUCUCUCAGAACUGCUAUGCAAAAUCUGUGCGUGAAAAGUCCUCAGAGAAGUUGGGUCCUUCUCAUCUGGAACCUCCUUGGAACAAGAGAAGAUUUGGGAGGAGAUUACUCUGGAGCAAAUGAAAGAAUCAAAGAAAACCCCUGAAAAACCUGGGAGAGUUGCUGAUUCACCAGAGGGCCAUGCAGAGGUGCCUUGACACACUGGAGAAACUGACUGAUGAUGGAAACCUCACAAAAUUCAACCAAAGGAAGUCCAGAGUCCUGCAACUGGGGAAGUGCAACCAUGGGCAUCAUCACGUGCUGAGGGACACCCAGGUGGAAAGCAGCUCUGCAGGAAAGGGCCUGGAGUUUUGGUGGUUUCCAAGCUGUGUGAACCAGCAGUAUGCGCCUGCUGCUAAGAAUGCUAAUGGUGUCUUGGGUUACGUUAGUCAAAGUAUCAUUAACAGAUCCAGAGAAGUGAACUUCUCCUAUAUUCAGCACCUAUGAGGCCACACCUGGAGCAGUUCUGGGCUCCCAAGUACAAGAGAGGCAUGGGCAUAAUGGAAAGAGUCCAACAGAAGGCCACAGAAGUUAUGACUGAGGGAUCAGAGCACCUCUGCUAUGAGGGGAGGCUGAGAGAGAGCUGUGGUUCAGGGGGAUCUCAUCAAUAUCUAUAAACACCUGAAGAGAUACUUGUAAAGAAGAUAGAUCCAAUCUAUUCUCAGCAGUGUUCAGUACCAGGACAAGAGGCCUCAGGCACAGAUUGGAACACAGGAGGUUCCCUCUGAACACCAGAAGCACUUCUGUGCUGUGCAGGUGACGGAACACUGUGCAGGCUUCCCAGAGGCUGUAGGGUCUCCUCUUUGGGGUUCUCCAAAAGCUGCCCCAGGGCCACAGGGACCCUGCUCUGGGUGGCCCUUCUGGAGCCAAUGGGACUCAGAAGUUCAAUUUCAACCAUUUUGUGAUUUUGAGAUUGAAUAACAGCUAGGGACUAUAUAAGGGUGUCUAUUCAUAUAGAAAAGUCUGAAGAAGCACAGAGGCAGAGAAAUCUGUGGUUAGGUAAGACAGUAUUUACUGUCUUUUUAUAUAUAUACUUUUAAUAUAUACUGUACCUCACAUUUAUAUUUUCUAAAUAAAAAUAUUCUGUAUUAUUUGAAUAUUUUUACAAAUGAAGAUCACAUCUCUCAUUUCAACAGUAAGACGUUCACUGAUUCGAUUUUUGCGUUCAGGCUUGGCUGCGUUUCCAUAGCACCCAGGUCGAUGAAGACAGGCAUCUGGUGUUGUGCACACACAGACCAAGAAUGAGAAUGAAACCUGAGGAGGAAUUAGGCACCUCAGACCAACAGGGCAUUGCACUGGGGAGUCCUCCUACCAGAAACCACUUGUCUGCAAUAACAACGUUUGUUAACACUGUGAUGUCAACAUGGGGUGAUCAGCUCAGGCAUAGACAUCUACUAGUGAUUAGAUGAACCCUAGCUGGUAAACUCAAAGAAAAUAAUACAAAUCUCAUGCAUAACAUAAAAUUACAAAAGAAAGAUCUCAUCUCCAUCUAUCAUGGUUAAAUGCUGACCCCAGCAUCCAAGUGGGAGAUCUGCAUUUCUUCCUCUGCUCUUGUUUUGUGAUAAUGUACAGAUACAGUAUUUGUGUUGCAAGGAAACAUCAGGUCCUUUUCUAAGUUCUUAGCCAUUCUGGAUUCUAUAGUGUAAUCAUCCACUUGAAGGAAAUGCAAGAGGUUAAAAAACCCUAGACAGUUCUCACAGUAGAGGCAAAUGUAUGUUAAUGACAGAUGGUUUAAAUAGCUAUUGGUGUUAUGAGACAGACUGGCUAAUACUGAAAUCUUCUAUUUUUAUAAGGCAGGAGACUUCAGAUGAUUUAUGACAGCCAUUCUCCCCAAGUGAUUUAAUCAUAAAAACAGCUAUUGUAAUUUCCUUCUGAGAUCAAGGAAAACACUGAACAUCCUGCCACUGCAUUUAUGCUAUCAGAAUCUUAUUUUGACACAUUCAGGCAUGUUUUUGCUGUGGGUAAUAAGAAAAAUAAUAGCAGCUGUAAAGAUUAAUAAUGCCAGGGGUGAAAUGGGGGACACAUUCAUCUGCAUCAUGUCAAGCAGCCUGUGCUCCUUCAUUUGGGAUCACUGUGUGUAGAUGCAGUGCCUGAAUUGUUGGCCACGUCUGGGCAGAAGCACCUACUGCCUUCCCAGCUGGACCACAAAUGCAUCAGGCAGACUAUGCAGAGAGAUGACUGCAGUUUUUGUCUCAAAUAGUUCCUGAGCACCAGCCUUUAAUGCCCACCAAUGUGUUAAAUUUCAGUCCUGGUUUCCUUUAUAUAGCUGCUGCUGAGUGUUCAUCUGCUUUCUGGGUACCUAGGGCACUCCUUGACAAUCUCCAGAAAGAUGGAGUCUGUGGGAAAGGAAAGCUUUGCAGAUUCAAGGCAUGCAUCCUGAAUAUCUGCCUAGGAAGUUUUGUAGAUUGAAUGAGAUUUGUCUAAAUGUUCGUGGGUGGGUGUGAACUGAAACAUUUGUACUACAGAGGAAGAAUCCUUCAAAUGGAGAAGGGAAGAGUUACACAUAAAUACAAAGCUCUGGUAUUUAAAACUAAGCAUCAUUAGCAUUGACCCCAUUAACAUGGGCAGCAUUAAGGUCAUGGUAGUACUUGUGAUUUACCAGAAUGAUGUAUAUUUUUUCAAAAUAUUUUAAGAAUUGCUAUAUAAAUGGAUAUGUAUUUCAGAUUCAUGUUACCUAUACAGAAGAAUCAUAGAAUCAUAGAAUGGUUUGGGUUGGAAGGGACCUUUAAGAUUGUCUAGUUCCAACCCCCCUCUCUAGACCAGGUUGCUCAAAGCCCCAUCCAGCCUGGCCUUGAAUGCUUCCAGGGAGGGGGCAUCCACAACCUUUCUUGGCCACCCGUUCCUGUGUCUCACCACCCUCACAGUAAAGAAUACCUUCCUAAUAUCUAGUCUCAAUCUACCUUCUUCCAGUUUACAGCCAUUUCCCCUUGUCCUGUCACUACCUGCCUUUGUAAAAAGUCCCUCCCCAGAUUUCCUGUAGGCCCCUUCAGGUACUGGAUGGUUGCCAUAUGGUCUUCUCAGAGCCUUGUCUUCUCUAGGCUGAAGAGCCCAGCUCUCUCAGCCUGUCCACGCAGGGGAGGUGCUUCAGCCCUCUGAUCAUCUUCAUGGCCCUCCUCUGGACCUACUCCAACAGCUCCAUGUCCAUCUUGUGUUGUGGGCCCAGAACUGGACACAGUACUCCAGAGUAGAGGGGCAGAACCACCUUCCUUGACCUGCUUGUCACACUUCUCUUGAUGCAAC